rnacentral:lncRNA from 1 species
UCGUGGUCAGCUGAACUGGAAAAAGCCCAACUUGAUUUGCUUCUUUGUAAGCUUCCUCAAGAGAUGAGCUAACAUUCUUGAUCUUGUUACCCAUCUGUAGGCGAAACUAAAGGGGAUUUGAGGAAGAAAAAGAAGCUGCACACCUUGUCACGCUUUCGAUUCUCAACCUUUUGGCCAAGAACUUCCAUGUAUCCAAAGUCAUCCAACACCAUCUCACCAUCUCGUGCUAUGCACUGGUGCUUUUUCAGCCAAAGAUUUUUGAGCAUCAGAUAUCAAAGCUUCCAUCAUCUCUACUUUCUCAGAAAGCUUUUUUGAAGGUCUUUCUUUACAGUUUACACCCCAUGCUCGGCUAAUCUCCUCUGCAGCAAGUGCAAGCAUCUUAGCAGAGAUUGCUGGAACAAUACCAAGUAGAGCUUCAGCCAUCGUUUUGGAAACUCUUACCACAAGAAAGAAAUGAUCUGGUGUACGAUUGGACUGUGUCAAGAGCAGCAUUUUGAUGACAACGCCAAUGGGUUGGUAUUUGCAACCUAAAAUGAUCAACAGCUGAAGAUUUAAUUAAUGAAAUCAGCUCAUAUUUGUCUAUCAAUAGCAGAACCUCAACUAACACUUUUCAGACCUUCUGAA